GCCCCAUGAACUCGCAGUAUGUACACAUUGGACCCUCGAGGAAGUUAGAAGAGGAAUAUGACCAGCCUACACGCCGUAUAGAUCAGUGCUUCGCCCACAGAGGGAACUGCGACUAACUGACAGCGAGGAAGAAUGCCGAGGAGAAAACAAUCAAACCCACAGCCCGUCAAAUUAGACGGUGUGGAGUGUGAACCAGGAUGCCUGGUUCUGGACAGUGACUUCCUGCUUAGUGGAGAGCUCUGUGAGUUUGGAGACACAGAGAUCAUGGGGCUGGACAGAGACACAGGUCAGACACACACACACACACACACACACACACUUACACAUAUACACAAACACGGACCAACUUGAUCUCAUAGUUUCACUUCCGAAAUUAUGGAUGAACGUCUAUUUUGUGAUGCAUUAGUUCUGCGUGGUUACAGGUUUACUUCCGAACGGUAAAGGGUUAACUCCGAACGGUAAACCGGGUUAACUCCGAAUGGUAAACAGGGUUAACUCCGAGUGGUAAACAGGGUUAACUCCGAACGGUAAACAGGGUUAACUCCGAGUGGUAAACAGGGUUAACUCCGAACGGUAAACAGGGUUAACUCCGAGUGGUAAACAGGGUUAACUCCGAGUGGUAAACAGGGUUAACUCCGAGUGGUAAACAGGGUUAACUCCGAGUGGUAAACAGGGUUAACUCCGUGCGGUAAACAGGGUUAACUCCGAGUGGUAAACAGGGUUAAUUCUGCAUAGUUUAAAAUAGAAACAACUCGAAAGGUUGAAGCUUAGGUAUUAUUAAGUCCGAGGGGUUAAUGUCCACGCCCCCGUGGGAAUUCUUUUAGCAUAAUAACACAAUCCCCAUUUUAAAAUCCAUCAGUUUAAACUAGAGAUAUCACCUUUUGUUGCAUUGGAUUGCGUCUCAAUCCCAUGGCAUCCACCGAUGUCUCACUUUCCCAUCUGCGGUGAAAGGUGACCGAGCUAGAGCGGUGUUUGUCAGACCAAGAGACAUCCAGAAAAUCAUUAUUCUCACAAAAUUGGUUUUGCAACAUCCGGAUGGUUUGGCCUUCAAAACUAUUAUGAAAAGACGAGACUCUCACAAACAUGACGGUGUUCUCUGUUUUUCUCUACGACCCCCACAAGAGUCUUGGGACCCGUGUGAAGCCGGUACCGCUGAUCUGCCAACCUCUGUCUGUGGCGAACAGUUUGGGUUACACACUAAUAUGGACCCGUCUGUGGAAAGCACUCUCCCUCCUUCUCUCUCUCCCUCCUCUCUCUCUCCCUCCUUCUCUCUCUCUCCCUCCUUCUCUCUCUCUCCCUCCUUCUCUCUCUCUCCCUCCUUCUCUCUCCUUCUCUCUCCACCCUCCU
ensembl:lncRNA